GUGGGCGUUAGAAAUUUGAGUGGAUCUGACUCUAGUACGAGAGGACCGAGUUGGACAAACCUCUGGUGUAUCUGUUGUUCCGCCAGGAGCAUUGCAGAGUAGCUACGUUUGGAAGGGAUAAGCGCUGAAAGCAUAUAAGCGCGAAACCCACCACAAGAUGAGAUUUCUUUAAAGGGUCGUGGGAGAUGACCACGUUGAUAGGCUAUAGGUGUAAAGGCAGUAAUGUCAUAGCCGAGUAGUACUAAUAACCCAUAGGCUUAUUGUAC
rnacentral:rRNA from 1 species